rnacentral:misc_RNA from 1 species
GGUGGUCGAGGGAGCAGACUCUUCAAUCCACGCGUGGAGUCCUCCUCUUCUAAUUCCUCAUCUUCUUCUGCUUUUUCUUCUUCUAUCGCUUUUGGUGAUCUCCCUCUNUCGUCCUCAUGGUGGUGCUCCUCUAAAGACUGGAGACUCACGAUUUGAGGUUCAUGAUCGAGUGCAGUACACAAGAGACCAGCUGCUGCAACUUAGAGAGGCUAUUGUGAUCUAUGAUGAGAUUUUAAAAAUCAAACGAGAAAUUGAAGCUGAGCUUUUUGGUGAGGAUCAAAGCUGGAGUCGUGGAGAAAUCAAUCCACCAAAUCAGUCUCAGAGUCGUUAUUCAGAGACAGACAAUCGUGACUGGCGUGGUCGUUCU